UACGGAAGGCAGCAGUGGGGAAUAUUGCACAAUGGGCGAAAGCCUGAUGCAGCUAUGCCGCGUGUAUGAAGAAGGCCUUAGGGUUGUAAAGUACUUUCAUCGGGGAGGAAAAACAAAACUAAUAAUUUUAUUUCUUGACGUUACCCGAAAAAGAAGCACCGGCUAACUCCGUGCCAGCAGCCGCGGUAAUACGGAGGGUGCUAGCGUUAAUCAGAAUUACUGGGCGUAAAGAGCACGUAGGUGGUUUUUUUAAAGUCAGAUGUGAAUCCCUGGGCUUAACCUGGAACUGCAUUUUGAAACUGAAAUACUAGAGUAUCGUAGAGGGAGGUAGAAUUCUAGGUGUAGCGGUGAAAUGCGUAGAUAUCUGGAGGAAUACCUGUGGCGAAAGCGGCCUCCUAAACGAAUACUGACACUGAGGUGCGAAAGCGUGGGGAGCAAACAGGGAUUAGAUACCCGU
rnacentral:rRNA from 1 species